GCCUUCGUGGUAUAGUGGUCAGCACGCUCGACGCGUAUUCGAGAGGUCCGUGGUUCGAAUCCCGGCGAAGGCA
rnacentral:tRNA from 1 species